GAUGAACGCUGGCGGCGUGCCUAAUACAUGCAAGUCGAGCGAACGGACGAGAAGCUUGCUUCUCUGAUGUUAGCGGCGGACGGGUGAGUAACACGUGGAUAACCUACCUAUAAGACUGGGAUAACUUCGGGAAACCGUAGCUAAUACCGGAUAAUCUUUUGAACCGCAUGGUUCAAAGGUGAAAGACGGUCUUGCUGGCACUUAUAGAUGGAUCCGCGCUGCAUUAGCUAGUUGGUAAGGUAACGGCUUACGAAGGCAACGAUGCAUAGCCGACCUGAGAGGGGGAUCGCCCACACUGGAACUUGACCACGUUCCAGGCUACUACGAGACGGAGCAGUAGGGAACCUGCCGCAGUGGGCGAAAGCCUGACGGAUCGGCCCCGCGUGAGUGAUGAAGGUCUUCGGAUCGGAAAACUCUGUUAUGAGGGAAGAACAUCUGUGUAAGUAGCUGUGCACAGCUUGACGGUACCUAAUCAGAAAGCCACGGCUAACUACGUG
rnacentral:rRNA from 1 species